CUUCCGUAGGUGAACCUGCGGAAGGAUCAUUAAAUAUGAAAGCGGUUUGGGAUCACCAAGAGCACUAUGCUCUGUCUAUGGCAGAGUGUUUGCUCUUGCCCAGGCUGUCUGAAUAUUCACCCAUGUCCUUUGCGUACCUUUGUUUCCUGGGUGGGCUUGCCCACCAACAGGACAGUAUUAAACCAUUUGUAAUUGCAAUCAGCGUCAGUACAACAAAAUAGUUACAACUUUCAACAACGGAUCUCUUGGUUCUGGCAUCGAUGAAGAACGCAGCGAAAUGCGAUAAGUAGUGUGAAUUGCAGAAUUCAGUGAAUCAUCGAAUCUUUGAACGCACAUUGCGCCCCUUGGUAUUCCAUGGGGCAUGCCUGUUCGAGCGUCAUUUGUACCCUCAAGCUCUGCUUGGUGUUGGGCGUUUGUCUUGUGAGACUCGCUUUAAAAUAAUUGGCAGCCAGCAUACUGGUAUUGGAGCGCAGCACAAGUCGCGCUUUGUAUCUGAAUGCGGGCGUCCAGAAGCCUCUUUUUCAACUUUUGACCUCGGAUCAGGUAGG
rnacentral:rRNA from 1 species